UCAGGACAUGUUCUCCGCGGGCCCGCGCGCGGCUCCCAGCGGCCCGAGGGGCGGAGAGGCGGCGCGGAGGCGGGGGCCGAGGCUCGGGGACAGGGGCGGAGCGGACUGGGGACGGCCUCGGGCGCUGAGGACUCGGAAUGGCGGCGAGCAGGACCCUAGAGCUAAAUAAACCCCGAGGCGGCCGCACAACGUCAGGAACUGGACCUUGCUGCUCACCGUCCUGUGAUUGGUCCCGAGACCUCAAGAGGCGCAGCCAAUAGGCGACCGCUUCUUUCCCGGCGCAGGAGGCGGGCCGCUGUCGUGACGUCAACAGCGUGCGUCCUAAUUGUGAGGCUACGGCGCGCGCGGUUCGCGACGCGUCCUCCGGGUUUCCUGCCCUGACUUCCUUUGAGGAUGGACUGUGAUAUGGAACAAAAUCUAAAAUAAACCCUUUCUUCCCCCAAGCUGCUUCUGGUCAUGAUGUUUUGUCACAGCAAUAUGCCAACAUUUCCCAGCCUCUCCUAAGGAAGAAUAGGCUACUGAAGUACACUGACCAGCUUCCUACAAAACUAUCCUAAAAAUGUCAUCUGGUUCUUUGAGCUCAGUUUAGGCAAGAGAAACUUCCAGAUCAUUUCCAUGAAUGGACAUACUUAAGCACAUGGGGUUGAGGGUGUUGAUGCAGUCCUGUAAUCCCAUCACUAAACUGGCAGAGGCCAGAAACAAGAUGGUGACAGGAUCCCCUGGAAAUUGCUACAAUAAGGCAUUCGUGCCGUGCCGAGGGUGUGGCUCUAAGGCCUACCCCCUUCAGAGGUCAACCUGUGAUGAAUGUGUCUACCCUACCAAGUGCAAGAGAAAGAAGUGUAACUGGAGUGCCAAGGCUAAGAGACGAAACACUACCAGGACCGGGAGGAUGAAGCACCUAAAAAUUGUCUAUAGUACAUUCAGAUAUGGAUUCUGUGAAGGAACAACACCUAAACCCAAGAGGACAGCUGGGACACUGUAGAACUUUCCAAUCUUCCCAAUGCUGCAACCCUUUAAUACAGUUCCUUAUAUUGUGGUGACCCCCAACCAUAACAUUAUUUUCCUUGCUAC